rnacentral:lncRNA from 1 species
CUCCUCACAUUCCUCGCCAGGUCGUUGUUUCCUAGCAAUCCUCCUCCUCGGCUGCUGUGUGUUCGGUCACGUUUUUCCUCUUUUUCUCGCCCUUUUAGACUUUGAAAUCAAGCACGUCCGUUGAAUGCGAAUAGAGUGCUAUCGGAAGCCUUUGGCAGAGGUAUUAAAUGAAGCUCAAAUUUUAUGAAACGAAUCUCAAAUUUUAUGAAUAUCACAUCAAAAUAUUAUCGAACAUGAAUAUGUAUAAUCUAUUAAUAUCUGUAUUAAUAAUAUUAUGAAUCUGUAUUAAUAAUAUUAUGACAUAUGAUGAAGACAUCCUAGGUGAAGACAUCCUAGGUAUAGAUGUUGGGGACAGACAUCUAAGCCUAGAUCAAUGCAGAAAUUCAUUGUAACUUUGGCAAAAGUAUCAAACGAAGCUCAAAUUUUAUAAAACGAAGCUCAAAUUUUAUGAAUAUCACACCAGGUCACAGACAAGAUAUUAUCAGGUCACAGACAAGAUAUUAUCGAACUAUUAAUAUGAAUCUGUAUAAUCUGUAUUAAUAAUAUUAUGAUAUAUGAUGAAGAUAUCAAGACAUCCUAGGUAUAGAUGUUGGGGACAGACAUCUAAGCCUAGAUCAAUGCACACACCGAAAUUCAUUGUAACUUUAGCAGAGGUAUCAAACGAAGCUUAAAUUUUAUGAAACGAAGCUCAAAUUUUAUUAAAAUGUAUAAUCUAUUAAUAUGAAUCUGUAUAAUCUAUUAAUAAUGUAUGAGCAACUCACUUGUUUCUUUUCUCCACCAAAAUGUUUUCUGAAGAGGGAAAGUGUUGUAAAUUUGUAGUGAUAAUCUGCGAUUGGCUGUAGGUGAAUGACACAUUCGGAUCAUUUGGAUCCGGAAUCUCCAUGUUAAAUUGCUGGCACAAGUAAUGGAAGAGGGGCUUCUCAUGUUGUCAUGUGCAUGUAAAUAUUGUUCAUUAUGUCCUGAAAUUAGAAAUUAAGAAAAAUAUAAGAAAGAUCAGAAUAGGAAACAAUAACAAUAGGGGCACAAUUUGCUACCUUCUGGAACAUGUCUCCCAUUAUAAUCUUGGCGUGAUAUUUUUUGCCCUCUUUGACGGCCAUGCAAAAUUCAGAAUCCGGAUUGUUAAGUAAAGCUUUUCUAUCCUCCGAUAGCUCUAUGAAUAGAGCAGUAGGUUUGUUAUCAUUAAUAACCUCUAUUGAUCUCUGAAAAAGAAAAUUUCAAGUAUCAACUAGCCUACCUAUUUGAUGUUAGCAAAUGUAAGUAUCAUAGCCUCAAGCCUCACCUUAGCCCGCUGUUUUACACCUAUGCAUAGUUUAUCUCAUUCUCAUUGUUCUUCGUUAAUAAUUCAGUGGAAAAUAACGGCUUAUGAGUAAAGAAUUUAAUACUUUCCAUGAGGAUCACCGACCUGCAUAAGCGACCCAACUCAAAUAGAGUCACUAAGUGCUGAGUCCAAU